ensembl:misc_RNA 7SK 7SK RNA
GGAUGUGAGGACAAUCUUAGUGUGGCAUCUGUCACUUCGUUGAUUGCCAGGGUUAACUCAGCAGAUCUGUUGGCCUAGGCGGGGGUCCCUUUUCUACCUCACUGCUCCAUGUAUGUCCCUCUCCAAGUUGUGUGCUCAGUGUAUGAAGAUGACCUUCCCUGAGUGAGAAGGAUAGUUCUUCAAUCUCUAAGGGACUAUGAGUAGCUACUUGUCCCUUCUAGAACCUCUAAGACAAGCUCUCAAGGUUCAUUUGUAGGAGAUUGUGGGCGUUAAACUUCCAAGAUACCAAACACAUCCAAACGAGGUGCCACAUGUGGUAGCCUGUCUUUCUUU